GAUCCUGGCUUAGAACGAACGCUGGCGGCAUGGAUUAGGCAUGCAAGUCGAACGAAGCAGCAAUGCUUAGUGGCGCAAGGGUGAGGAACACGUGAGUGACCUACCCGCAAGUUUGGAACAGCUCCUGGAAACGGGAAUUAAUACCGGAUGUGAUCGAUGAACUGCAUGGUUUAUUGAUUAAAGCAGCAAUGCGCUUGCGGAUGGGCUCGCGUCCCAUUAGCUAGUUGGUGAGGUAACGGCCCACCAAGGCCAUGAUGGGUAGCUGGUCUGAGAGGACGACCAGCCACACUGGGACUGAGAACUGCCCAGACUCCUACGGGAGGCUGCAGUCGAGAAUUUUGGGCAAUGGACGAAAGUCUGAACCCCCAGCAAUGCCGCGUGCGGGAUGAAGGUCUUCGGAUUGUAAACCGCUGUUUGGAGGGACGAAAAUUGACGGUACUUCCAGAGGAAGCCACGGCUAACUACGUGCCAGCAGCAGC
rnacentral:rRNA from 1 species